rnacentral:lncRNA from 1 species
GAUCAAUAAAAAGAUAAUUUUAAUUUUUAUUCAAAAGUGAUGUAUCUUUGAAUCAUUUAUGGAAUUAAUACUUUAAUACAUAUUCUCAAAGUGUUGAGAAUUAGAGGUAUGUAUAAAAUUUUUAAAUACUCUCGAUCAUAGUAUCAUCAUGAGGAUGGAGAUCGAUCCAGAUAGACUAUCACAUAGAUCACUUUCUUCGAGGU